rnacentral:rRNA from 1 species
AGUGAACGCUGGCGGUAUGCCUAACACAUGCAAGUCGAACGGAAGCACAGUAAGCGCUUGCUCUUACGGUUGGCGGGUGGCGGGCGGGUGACGCGUACAUCGGCUUCUUAUUUUUCUUGGAGGAUUACGGAGGACCGCUUAUGAUACUACCUAAUAUGUUGAACGGCAUAGAUCAAUGGAUAAUCAGGCUUUUCCUGUUUCAUAUAGACGGUGUCGGAUUAGCUAGUUGGGUGGGUAAAGGACCACCAAGGCAAGGAUGCGUAGCCGACCUGAGAGGAUGAUCGGCCACACUGGAACUGAGACACGGUCCAGACUCCUACGGGAGGCAGCAGUGGGGAAUAUUGGGCAAUGGGCGAAAGCCUGACCCAGCCAUGCCGCGUGAGUGAAGAAGGCCUUCGGAUUGUAAAGCCCUUUUAUUGGGGAAGAAAAGAAGUGGAUUAAUACAUCGCUGUUCUGACGGUACCCAAAGAAUAAGCACCGGCUAACUUCGUG